AAGUGAGGUUGAGCAAAAGGAGACCAAUCGGCAUACGUCAUCAAGAUUUUUGAAUCCGGAAACUCGAAUUAACAGUGUGCGAUUAUAAUUGCAAGACAAAACCGAAGCUUUGGAAUCGGAACAGCAAAUCAUCUUCAUUUGGAAAUAAUCAUAUUGACAGCGAAUGUCCAGCUGCUUUAGCAUUGUACAAGACUUCCAUAAAAGUUGUUAGGAAAAA